rnacentral:rRNA from 1 species
ACUCAAAGGAAUUGACGGGGACCCGCACAAGCGGUGGAGCAUGUUGUUUAAUUCGAUGAUACACGAGGAACCUUACCUGCCCUUGACAUGUACAUUAUACUUUCUGGAAACAGAUCGUUUCGGUUCGGCCGGGUGUACACAGGUGUUGCAUGGCCGUCGUCAGCUCGUGUCGUGAGAUGUUGGGUUAAGUCCCGCAACGAGCGCAACCCCUAUUGUUAGUUGCCAGCAUUAAGUUGGGCACUCUAACGAGACUGCCGAUGAUAAAUCGGAGGAAGGUGGGGAUGACGUCAGGUCAUCAUGGCCCUUACGGGCAGGGCUACAAACGUGCUACAAUGGCGACUACAAAGGGCUGCGAUCUCGUGAGAGCUAGCCAAUCCCUAAAAGUCGUCUCAGUUCAGAUUGCAGGCUGCAACUCGCCUGCAUGAAGUUGGAAUCGCUAGUAAUCGUGAAUCAGCUAUGUCACGGUGAAUACGUUCCCGGGUCUUGCACACACCGCCCGU